rnacentral:lncRNA from 1 species
CUGCUGUUACAUUCUGAGUUCAAAUUCCGCCAAGGUCGACUUUGCCUUUCAUCCUUUUGGGGGUCGAUAAAUUAAGUACCAGUUACGCACUGGGGUCGAUAUAAUCGACUUAAUCCGUCUGUCUGUCCUUGUUUGUCUCCUCUGUGUUUAGCCCCUUGUGAGUAGUAAAGAAAUAGGUAUUUCGUCUGACUUUACAGUCUGAGUUCAAAUUCCACCAAGGUCGACUGUGCUUUUCAUCCUUUCAGGGGUCAAUAAAUUAAGUACUAGUUGCGUACUGGGGUCGAUCUAAUCAACUGGCCCCCUCCCCCAAAAUUUCAGGCCUUGUGCCAAGGAUAGAAAAGAAUAUGGCCUAGCACUGCUAUGAUUGCAAGAAUUACUGUCAGAACCUAAUGAGCUGGAACAGAUGGUGCAAGCUCUGCCAAUUCAUGAUACAAGAUUGGCAGACUUUUUUUUCUUUUUUUUUUUUUGGUUUUCUUUCUUUCUUUCUUUUUUUUGUUUUUUUGUCAACUCUGAAAGUUUGGAUGGCAAAUUUGACUUUGUCAGGAUUUGAACUUAGAAUGCAGAGAGUCAGAACAAAUACCAGAAGGCAUUCUAUCCAAUACCCUAACGCAAACUCUACCGAUUCUCCACCUUCUAGGAAUUCUCAAGUAACCAUACAAAAACAAACAGUAAGAAAUAACUGCCAAAAACAUUGUUAACCAUACAGACAUAUUGAAAAAAAACAAAAAAAAACAAAGAUUCUCUUAAAUACACGCAAUUUAAUACAAGCAUUAUGGUACACAGAAAUAUUUUUGAAAACAUCUAACAAUAUAGAGAUACCACCCUAAUAAAACAACAAAAAGAAGAAAAACAAGCACUCCCCCCAACUGCUCCACCCUUGCUUUCCUUAGUGAUGCUUUGUUUCAUUUUGCCAUUCUUUAUCUCAUUAUUCCAUUUCAUAUUGUUUAUGUCAUUCAUAUGUGCAGAAAACAGGAAACGGCACUUGCUAUUCAUUUUAGGAUAGCAAACUAUAGAGAGAGCCAGACAUUUGUUUUAGUUUUGUCUUGUUUGCUUGUUUGUUUUUAUUCAUCUAAGAUAUUAUCUCAACAAAAUGAUUCAGUACCAGUAAUCCAAACUCUACAGUUCCAGCUUCAUUCUUGUUUAAAGGUUUAGGAUUAUAUAAAUGUAGCAGACGAUUCCAAUGAAAGAAUUCAAUUCAACCAAACUAACAAAUAUUGUAAACAAUAUUUUUAUUUUUUUCUCCAGUCGUAGUCGAAGUGAAUGUUUUGGGAUUGUUUAUUUGUUUUGUUUGUUUUUUGUUUGUUUUUGCAGCAUACUAGUUCUUCAAAGUUUUUUACCCUUGAAUUUUUCCUUUAUCUGUAUUUUUUUUUUGUCCUUUAGUUCUUUGCAUGAGAUGGUGGGGUGGGGGUGAGAUGGGGGAGCAGUUGUUUGUUUGUUUCUAAAUAGCAAAGUUUUGUGUCCGUUAUAUAUGAUAACAUGCAUUGUUGCAUAAUAGAUUUACUUUUUUUUUGAAAUUCUGUUUUUUAAUAACAACAACAACAACAGUAAUAAUGGUUUCAAAUUUUGACACAAGGCCAGCAAUUUCGGUGGGAAUCAAUUACAUCGACCCCAGUGCUCAAAUGGUAUUUAUUUUAUUGACACCAAAAAGAUGAAGGGUAAAGUUGAUCUCGGCAGAAUUUGAACACAGAACUUAAAGACAGAUGAAAUGCUGCUAAGCAUUUUGCCAGGUGUGCUAAUGGUUUUGCCAGAUGAAUGAUAAUGAUAAUAAUAAUAAUGACAAUAAUAAUAAUAAUAAUAAUAAUAAUAAUAAUAAUAAUAGUAAUAAUAAUAAUAAUAAUAAUACUAUAGGCACAAGGCCUGAAAUUUUAGGGGAGGGAAUCAGUCGAUUACCUCGACUCCAGUGUUUCGCUGGUAAUUAAUUUAUCAACCCCAAAAAGAUGAAAGGCAACGUUGACCAUGGCAGAAUUAGAACUCAGAACAUAGCGAUGGGCGAAAUGCUUAGCAGCAUUUCACCCAGUAUGCUAACGAUUCUGCCAGCUCACCGCCUUUUUAGUAAUAAUAAUACUGAUGAUGAUGAUGAUGAUGAUGAUGAUGAUGCUUUCAAAUUUUUGCACAAGGUCAGCAAUUUUAGGGGUGGGUUAAGUUGAUUACAUCAACCCCAGUACUUGACUGGUACUUAUUUUAUUGACACCCCACCCCCACACCAAAAAAAGGUAAAAGGCAAAGUUGGCCCUUGUGGAAUUUGAACUUAGAAUGUAAAGACUGAUGAAAUGCCCCAAAGCAGUUUCUCCAGCAUGCUAGCAAUUCUGCCAUUUUGCUGCCAAUAAAGGCGAUGAGAAUCAUAGUGCCAAACUUUGACACAAGGUCAACAGUCUUAGUGCUAGCAAGGUUGAAUAUAUCAACUGCAGUGCUCUACAAGAACUUUGGUUUAUCGAGCCUGAAAAUAUGAAAAGCAAAACUAACUUCAUCAGGAUUUGAACCUGGAAUGUAAAGAGUUGGAAGAAAUACUGCUAUAUAUUUUGUCUGGCAUGCUUAACACUGGGAGCAUCAUAGCAAUGUGCUGAGAGGAAUUAUUUGGGGUUUGAAUAAAUAAUUAUUGGAAACAUGGGUGCUUCAUCCAUCAUCCUUGAACAACUCUUAUUCAGGGACCUUUUGAGCAGGAUGGGCUAUUCAACAUGAACAAAAUUCUAACUGAGCCCCACCUGCAAGGUCAUGCGCUGUUUACCUUGAUAGGAGAUCACAAUGGCAUGCACUUAUGGUUGUGAUGCAUGUGCCUUGUGUACCCCUAUCAGACAGGUAGUCAUGAUGGGUAUAUUGAGCUUUGUAUAGUUGUACCCCAGUGUCACUUUGAUGGCAUGCAUUACUCUGUCAAUAAUGAUGACAAUGAUGAUGAUGAUUAUGAUGAUGAUGAUAAUAAUCCUUUCUACUGGAGCAGUGGUUCCCACUCUUUUCACUACCAAGGACCCCUUUUAUUUAAAUGAGUUUUCCCAGGAUAUUGAAAGGUCUUUCAGCUUAACAUUUUCACAGACCCCCUAGUACCACUUCUUUGUGGACCACCAGGGGCCCACAGACCACAGGUUGGGAACCACUGUACUAGAGGCAUAAGGCCUGAAAUUUUGAGAUUGCCAUCUACACCAACCCCAGUGCACAACUGGUACUUACUUCAUCAAUCCAGAAAGGAUGAAAGGCACUGCUUACCUCGGCAAAAUUUGAACUCAGAAUGUAAAGACAGACAAAAUGCCUCUAAGCAUUUUGUCUAACUUGCUAAUGAUUCAGCCAGCACACCACCUCAGAGAUAAUAAUAAUAAUGAUAAUGAUAAUAAUAAUAAUUUCUUUUAUUAACCACAGGGAUAUAGAUGAGGGAUACAUCACGAGGACAGUAAACAAUUAGUGUGAGGAUAAACAUAAAGGAUGGGGGAGGGUAAAAAUAAUAACGAUAAUAAUCAUUUCAAAAUUAGCAUAGUUUGUUAGUUUUUUUACAAAGCUUGUUAUAACAAUAAUAAUGAUAAUGAUGAUGAUGUUGAUGACGAUAACAACAACAACAAUAAUAAUAAUGAUAAAUUGUCUUAACACGUAUUGAGAAGAGCAUUGUAGCAGUGAAUUUUCUUUCCCUUUCCCCCUUUAUUUUCUUUGUGUACUUUUUAUGUUUUAUUUUUUGCUUUUUUUCUGUCUUUCUUCCCUUUCUCUAUAUCCCAUGACUUUUGUAAAUGGACAAUUUCGUGUGUUUUAUUUUAAUGGCCUACCAAUGUACACAGUACGUUUCUCUGCCCUAGGUGUCAGGAAGACACUCAGCAAGAAAUGGAAACAGAAUUGAAAGAAGAUGAUAAUGAAAAUAUUAACAAUAAUAAUAAUAAUAAUAAUAAUAAUAAUAAUAAUAAUAAUAAUAAUGAUGAUGAUGAUGAAGAUAAGGAUUUUUCUUAUUUACCACCAGAGUGAAGUAUGAGGGGGACAGUACAAAGACAGACAUUAAUAGCAACAUGCUAUGAAAGAAACACUUACAAACUAGGCCUAUUUUGAAGGGGGUUAUUAUAAUCCUCCUCCUCCUCCUCAUCAUCAUCAUCAUCAUCACCGUCAUCAUUAUUAUCAUCAUCGUCAUCGUCGUUAUCAUCAUCCCCACCUCCGUCGUUAUUAUAUUUUAAAUAACAGAUGUUUUAUCUUAUAGAAUUUUCCUUCUUUUCUUCUUCUUCUUUUAGUAUGUUCUCUGAUAUUUCUUCAACUCAACAUUUCAAAAUUGUGUUAAUGUCUUAAAAGUUUUAUAGAUAUGCAUUUAUGAGUGAUACAUGUGUAUAUAUUUGCAUGUGUGUGUGUGUGUGUGUGUGCAUGUGUAUGUAUCUUGAUUUUAGUAUAUGUAUAUUGUAUGAGAGUGCAUGUGUGUAUAUACAUGGUAUAUGUUUCUGUGUGCGUGUGUGUGUUUAUGUGCGUAUUUGUGUGUGCCUUUGUAUGUGGUUCUGUACAUCAUUAGUGUUUUUUGGCUGUUGUCAGUUUGCAGUGUCUUUAUUUAUAUAUUUAUUUAUUUAUUCCAUCUUUUUAUUUAUUUUAUUUAUUUUUUUUUAUAUAUUACCAUUCAAAAUUCCUUUCACCUUGCCAUAAAAUUUUUCAAGAAAUAUUUUACUAUACACUUCCAGACUCUCUAUCAAUUUACUGCUUAUAAUUUCCUCUCUUACACUGCCGAUCUUUAAAGAAAAUGCUAAUUCCAGUGACAGUUCUUAGAAAUGUCAAUGGUAAUAAAAAGCAUUGCAACAUUUUCCACCCACUUUUUUUUAUGAUACUUCAGUUAACAAACUCACACACACACACACACACACACGCACGCGCGCACGCACGUGCACACUCUUACACAUAUGCGUACACAAAACAAGAAAACAAAUGUCAGAUUUAGAGCUAAGGUGUAUUUUAUUGAGCAUUAAAGAUUCAACAGCUUUCAUUUUAUUAUUUUGUAGUGGGUUCUUUUUGUUGUUGUUUUUAAUAAAAAAAAAUAAAAUAUACUUAAUGAUGAUGUAAAGUGAAAUUUACAUAACUUUAUUACUUUGAUGUCAUAUAAAGAAUUGAGACCACAUUAGUCUAGAGCCCAAGUGCAUCAGAUGUAUAGAGGAAAAACUUUAUAUCAGCUAAACCUCAAUGAUCACAUCAUUAAGUUUAAUAUUAUAUGGCAGUGCUGCUGCUGUUUACUUUCACAGCUAGCAGAAAACACAAUAACAACAGCAUUAUCCAGGAAAAAAACAUGAAAAGUCCGUUUUGGUGAGCGCUAUAGUUUGUUAGUAAGCUGUAUUCCCAGAAAAUUAUUUGUCUGUCUCAUACUUUAUAAGUGUAUUCUAACUGUAUGGUCGAUGUGUUUAUUUCAUAUUGACAAUUUGCAAUUAGGAAAAACCUGAUGUUUGAGUAUGGCUGAGUGGUUAAGAAGCCUGCUUUCUGACCAUGGGGUUCUGGCAGUGCCGGAUUAACCAUUAAGCAAAAUAAGCACGUUCUUAGGGCAUCGAGGGAAGGAGGGGGCACCACAGAAAUGGUCAAUGGUUUACAGCACAAAAGAAAUCACUUUAAACUUUGCUAAAAUAAUAUUCGGGAUGCCUCUAUCUCUACUAAGUAUUGAUACAGAUGUGUUACCUAAGAUUAAUUUUGAGGAUCUGAUCAAAGACUUUGCAAUUCAAAAAGUAGGAGCAAACUUUUCAAAUCUAAAUAAAGUGGAAAUAUACAGAAAUAAACAUUAUUUUGCCUCUUACUGUUUUGUUUGGUUUUGAAAAAUAAAAUUUUUUAUACUUUUAUAUUGUUUCUAUUUUGAAUUAUGUAAUCUUUUAUGGGAACACCAAAAUCUUUUAAGUGCUUAGGGCCUCAAUGGGUCUUAAUCCGACCCUGGGUCCUGGGUUCAGUUAUACAGCAUGAUACCUUGGGAAAAGGGUCUUCUACUCUAGCUCCAGGCUGACCAGUGCCAUAUGAGUGUUUUUGGUUGCCAGAAACUGGAAGAAAGCCCAUACACACACGUGCACACAGGCACACAUGCAUACACACACAUAGAUAGAUAGAUAGAUAGAUAGAUAGAUAGAUAGAUAGAUAGAUAGAUAGAUAGAUAGAUAGAUAGAUAGAUAGAUAGUGAGAGAGAGAGAUGAAUGGAUAGAUAGACAGAUAAAUAGAUAGAUAGAUGUAAUUACUAACAGAGAGUGCAGUGAACAAAUUGCUUUAUCAAAUAACACCCAAAUGAAAUUGAUGUAUAUUUGUGUGUGUGUGUCCAAUUAUUGCUUGAAAACUGGUGUUGGUGUGUUUACAUCCCCAUAACUGAGUGGUUUGGGGAAACAAAAGAAGCUUUAAAAGCAAAUAACUACUGAUAAAAAUUCAAGUAAUUGUCCCAGCAUGACUGCAGUCUAUUAACUGAAAUAGAUAGAAGAUUAUAUAUAUAUAUAUAUAUUAGUUUGGUUGCAUCAGCCUCUUGCUACUCUGAAUUUCACCUGUAGGUGCACAAGAUCUGGCCUGAAGAUCUCAAGUGUCUACAGAUGAAAUUCAGAGUAAGAAGAAAGUGAAAUGACCAAAAUAAAAUACUAUUGAUUUAUACCAUGGUAUUGAGUACUCUUUUAUCAAACAGUUGUUACUAAAUAUGUAUGUGUGUAUCUGUGUGCAUGUGUGCAUGUGUGUAUACACAUACUUACAUUUAUAUAUAUAUUCAUAUAUAUACAUAUGACUAUAAACAUAUAUAUAUAUAUAUGUAUACAUAUAUAUAUAUGUAUACAUAUAUAUAUAUAUGUAUAUAUAUAUAUAUAUAUAUAUAUAUAUAUAUAUAUAUAUACAGACACAUAUAAGCAUAUAUAUAUGUGUGUACAUUCAUGUACGUGCAUACACACAACACACAUAGCAUACAAAUAUGUAUGUAUAUGUCUGCCUUCUCUGUAUGUUAAAAUUUACAUAUCUAAUACACUAUACCAACCAUUCUUAUGUUCUUAUUGUUUCAUUGAGUGAUUUCCCUGAACUUUCAUCUCUUUUAGAUUCCUGCAAACUACUUGAAAUCUCAAAUAAUGUCUGCUUUUAUUACCAGCUACUCCAGCACAUAUGGAGCAUUUAAAAUUUGUUUUCCAACCAUUCCAUCAAAGAUUACAUUUCAUCUUAUAGAAAUAUAUUCAUUCUUAACGCUAAAAGACUUCCCAUCUAUUCUAUUUUUUCCCAUUCACUUUACUUGCCUAAUUUAGAAAUAUUUUCAGUCCUCAACCCCACCCAAUCUCUACUGUCCAGUCAUCACCUACUCUCCACUACCUUCCCUUCAGCUUAUAUUUAACAUUGACCAAAACCACUACCACCAACACUCCUCACUCAACCUUUGUUUAUUGUUCAAUAUAUUUGUCCCACCUCACUCAUACCCUGUCUCUAACCAUUCCUCACUCCCUCCAUACACUCAUGCAACUCUACUCACACACCCUCCCUAUUUUCCUGUCCCCAGUUCCCACAUCGACACCGACUUACCACCAUCUUUAUCUCCCUUUCCGGCUCCAUUCCAAUUAUUCAAAACCCUCUGUGAUCAACUUCGCCUUUCAUCCCUCUGGGUGGUGGGUUGGAGGGAUGUCUAUGAAAUAAAGUACCAGUCAUAUAUUGGGCUAAUGCUAUCAGCUAACCCCUUGCUCACUAAAAAUUGCUGGCAUGGACUUGUGGACAAGUGAGCAAAAGUAUACACACAAAGACAGAAAGAGAGAGAGAGAGAGAGAGAUUAAAAUUUAUUAAUUGAACAAGAUUAACAAAUAUUUUCUUUCCUUUAUACACACAGAGAAAUAUGUUCACAUGCAUAAAACGAAAGAGAGAAGAUGGAGGAGAGAGAUUACAAUUUAUUAAUUGAACAUGAUUGAUAUAAACUUUUUCACUCUCACCAUACUCAUAAAGACAAAAAUGCUGACAUACAUAAAUAGGGAGGAAGAGAGAGAGAGAGAGGGAAACAGACUGACAGACAGACAGACACAGAGACGGACAGACAGACAAAGACAGAGAGAAAGAAUGAGAGAAACAGUAAAAUGUCUGAUAUCAAAUAAUUCAAAACAGAAUCAAAUAAACAACACCAAAAAACUGUGCCAAAAUGUCUCAGACCUGUCUAGAUAUGAGUAUCAUAGCAGAACUGUCUCAAUCUGUUUCUCCCACUGCUGCUGCUGCUGCUGCACAUAAGGACAUCUUAAGCUGAAUCCAGAAAAAAAGCCACUUGACCAACAUUAAGUCACUUACAGACACACUUCACCCUUUGAUCCAUAGACAUACUCUAUCUUAUCUCUGCUUUUACAUUUUUUUUAUGUUGUUGUUGUUUUUGUCUUAGUACUAUUAUAAUGGUUUCAGCUUCUCAGAGCCUACUGGUCUUGUGUCACCUCUAUUCAGAAACUCCUGACUGACUCAUCUUUCCUUCUAUGAUCACUUACAUGAUAUCAAACUUUCUAAGCUUUGGUACUAACCCCUCCCAGUCCUUCCUGCCCAACUAGCAUCCCACUGAAGUUUCUUUCCUCUCUGGUCAUCUUUUCUGAAGUUGUCAAUUUGUAACUUUCAGCGGACCAUCUCUUAUAUAAGAUCUGUUCUGUCUACCUGUGUGUGUGUCUUCUAGGAUCUCGGGCAUCCACCAUCCAAUUGCGCUCAAAUUUGAUAUGUAGAUACCGACGGUAUUAGGGCAUGUAUAAGUCUUAAAAAAAUUACAAAAAUCAAUUCCAGGUGAUAAUGUGAUCGAUAAAGCCGUUUUUGUCCUGCUUUUCUUCCAUCAACCUGUACAUAACUGCACCUUCCAUUUCUUGUUGUUUUUGUACUGCUUAAAGGCACAUUUCUUUCCUGCCAAGCUUACAGUUUAAACCAUGUUCGUGUUCUCCCAGUCAACAGCCUUAUCAUUACUGGUACUUUAAACUCUUCGGUUGCAUAUUUGUGUGAAUAAAAACGAUUUUAUUCACACAGAUAUGUGACAAAAGAUUUCCAGACAAUGGACAUGAGUCACAAUAAGAACUGUAAUAAAUGAGUGAAGAACAAAUAAACAGUGUGUGUGUUUAUUUGGCAAGAACAAAAAAAAUGACCAUCCCGAAAUACUAUAUAAAUAUAUAUGUAUGUAUAGAUACAUAGAUAGAUAGAUAGAUAGAUAGAUAGAUUUAUAUAUGAAUAUUAAUAUUAUAUACAUAUAUGUUUGUGUCUGUCUGUGUGUCUUGGUAUUUGUGUUGUUUAUCCUUGCCCACUACUUGACAAGUGGUCUUGGUUUGUUUACAUCCAUGUAACUUGGCAGUUUCACAAGAGGGACAGAUAGAAUAGGCACCUGAUUUGACUAAAACUCUUUCGAGACACAGCCCCAGCAUAGCCACGGUGUAAUGAAUUAAACAAGCAAAAGAUAAAAAGAAACAAUAAAGGAUAAGUGAACUGAAGUUCUGUAAGUUUUUCAUCAAAGACCUUCUCCGUUCAACCACUUCGCUUGUUUAUUUUUAGCAGAAAUCUAAAUAAAAAAAACAAACAAACAUAGACAGUAAAUAAAUAUAACAAAAACUCACUGAUGACAUUUCAUGUAAUAGAUUCUAGCAUUUUAUUGCAAAUAAACUUCAAAUAUGUAAAUAACAUAACACAAACAUAUUCAGCAUUAUUUAGAUCAUAUACAUGUGAUAAUAUUUACAUAUCUCAAAAGAAACUCAGUUGAGAUUUCCUCAACAUGAGAAGUAGCAGCUAUUUUACUAUCACCUUCAUCUCUCAUCUCUAUUUAUUUUUGAUAAAAUAUUUAAAUAUUUCAGUUUUUAAAAUUGAUUUUAUGUUACAAAUAAAAUAAUUUCAUUAUUUUUUUAAAAAUUUUAUUAUACUUUUUAGAAAUUAUAAAUAAAAAAAUUGACUCUAAAGAUAGUUAUACAAUUUUUGUUUGUUUUUUUCCUUUGCUUUUCAGGUACUUUUGGUUUUAUUUUUCUAAUCAAUGGCUCUAAUUUGUAAGAUAUCUCUAAUUUCUGUUAUUGUACGCUACCUCGUAACUCUACAAGUCUAAUAAUACACCUCACGAACGGCAGCAUAUUAUUUCAGUUUAGUAUUUCUGCUCGUCUAAGUUUUUACACAUUGAGAAAUCUAUAGAAUAUUGAUGAAAUUUUUCCUUCUUUUUUUUUGGUUUUUUUUUUUCAACUUUUUAUAAACAUCAUGAAUUUGAAAAUUUCCUGUCAGUAAAAACAAAAAAAAAAAUUUUUUUAAUUUAAAUUAAAAAAAAAAAAAUGACAGAACCAAAAUUAUGAAAUUACAACGACUUUGCAUGUGUGUACCAACGUUGGAGUAUAUGAGUUAGACAGAUAUCAAAGUAGAUAACUAUCAGAUUCAGAAGCAUGAAAUGUUUCAGUUGAUUUAAAGGACGGUUCUUGUUGUUUUUAUGCUUGUUGUUUUCUUUUUUUUUUUUUCCAUUCUUUGUUAUUAUGCCAAAUUAAAAAUUAAAUCAAUGUUUUUUUGUAAUUGAUCUGAAUUUUAAUAAAUGUGUCUGUUAAGUUCAUUAGCAAGACAAAAUGUUUGGUAUUAAAUGGAAGAUUUCCAUAUAUGAUAUUAUGGGCAUCAAUAUUAUAUUGUAGAAUUAAAAGUAGACACACACACACCACACCAAAUGUACACACUGAGAUAAACAUGCAUACAUACUGAAACACAUGCAUAUAUAUGUAUGUGAAUGUAUAUAUACACACACACACACACACACAUAUAUAUAUAUAUAUAUAUAUAUAUAUAUAUAUACACAUAUAUAUAUAAAUAUAUAUAGAUAUAUAUAUAUACAUGAAUAUAUACACACAUACACACACAUAUAUUUGUGUGCAUCUGUGUGUUUAUAUAUACACACAUAUAUAUGUGUGUGAUUAUAUUUAUCUUUCUAUCUCUCUAUCUCUCUAUCUCUCUCUCUCUAUCUAUCCAUCUAUAUAUAUAUAUAUAUAUAUAUAUAUAUAUACACAUACAUACAUACAAUAUAUAUACACAUAUUACAUAUACAUAUGCAUAUGUACAUGAAUAGAUAUGUUAUAUAUGCAAUAGUCAUAUAUUAGUCACACACACACAUAUAUAUACAGACAUAUGCAAUUUAUAUAUAUACACACACACACACAUAUAAACACAAAGUGGAUAUGAUGCCAAAGAUAUGAUAUCGCAGCUAAAGUUUCAAGCUGCAUUUGAAAAAUAAUUUUUUAUUCAUUUAAUGAAUCUCACUAAAUGAAUUUGAUAAAUUGAUAAAUUGUGAAUAAUUUCAGCUUUUCUUCAGAAUGGUAAAAGUGCUUCUAGCAAUAUUUUAGCACCAUCCAUUUGGUUGGCCAUCAGAUAGGAUUAGCAUUUCUACAAUGCGUUUAUUGUUGAUUAGUUACUGAUUGAUUGAAUUGAUCUUUUAUUAGUUCUUUAAUUUGUUCUUAGCCAUUUUGAUCAUGGCCAUGCUAGAGCAUAAAAUUUAUUAUGACGUGGUGUUGAUGGUGCUAGUAGUGGUGUUGAUGGUAUUGGUGGUUGUGGUGGUGGUGGUGGGGUGGUGAUGGUGGUGCAAUAAUCAUCAACUUCCAUUUGUCAACAUAUUUAACAAAUUAAUACUGGAAUGCAUCCCAACAUGCAUAUGUGUAUGUGUGUGUGUCUGUCUGUCUGUCUCCGCCACCAAAAUGUGCCAUCACCAAACCAAGCUGAAUGACCAGUCAGCCAAAUUGUCAACAUCCAAACAACUAUGCCCAAUCAUGUCAUUCCACUCCCAGAAAAUAAUUAAUUAAAAUGAAAAUGUUCUUUCGUGUGUACAGUGUGAAGAAAAGUCUAACGAAAAUAUCUGAUUCCUACUAUGACAUUUAGGGAUAAGGUAGAGAUAUAUUCAGGCUCUACAGUUACUUUUUUUGCUUUAUUGUAGAGAGACUUGAGGUUCUGGUUGAAAUGAUACAACAUACAGUGGUCAAUAUACCUUCAAAACUGUUUUUAGAUCCAAUGGAACACAUCUUCAUUGCUGCCUUACAAGAGGUACGCUAAUUGAAGAGCCAGGAAUAUUUAUUUCUUUAUUGCCCACAGGGAGCUAAGCAUAGAGGGGAUAAACAAGAACAGAAAAAGAGAUUAAGUCGAUUACAUCGACCCCAGUGCAUAACUGGUAUUUAUUUAAUUGACCCUGAAAGGAUGAAAGGUAAAGUCAACCUCAGUGGAAUUUGAACUCAGAACAUAACGGUAGACAAAAUACCGCUAAGCAUUUCACCCAGCAUGCUAAUGAUUCUGCCAGUUCACCAGGAAUAUUGAGAAAUUCUUCUAUUAUAAUUCUAUUCUCAUCAUUGAUGUUUCAAAGAAUAUUAAAUUGACUGUGGUACUUUAUGCUACUGGUCCCAGAAGAAUGAGAAGCAAAGGCUUUGAGCUAUAAAAGUGAAAGGGUUCUGAGGUCCUGAGAGUUAGGUCAUCAGUUCAAUUCCUGAACCAAGUGGCACAUUCUGUCUUUGGGUAAUGGCACCAAUUUACUCUGCUAAAAAUGUGUCCUAGCCUAAUGCUUGUGUUGCUCUCUCUCUCUCUCUCUCUCUCUCUCUCUUUUUCUCUCUCUCUUUCUCUCUUUCUCCAACUAACACAUCAUUAAUGUUCCAUUGUGUUAAGGAUGGGGGGUGGGUGCUGAGUAGGUGUUUCUAUCUGUUUGCAGCUACACAACUACCUAAAGCAAUUUGUAAAAGCAUGGUACAUCAGGCUACCAGAUUAUCACUUGUUUAUGAGUGACAUCUAAGCAAGCUUUAAGGAUAUUAACUGAAAGCUAAUUGCAAUUAACUUACAACUAAUAUAUGUUAUAAAAUCCACUUGGCUUAUCAACAUUGAGUCCUUUCCAUAGUUUUUGAUUUGGUUUAUUCUCUGAUCAAACAUAAACAAUACUAACGUUGUCCAUCAUCUCUAAGUUACAGAGAGGAAAAUGGAAGCAUUAUUUUAUGGAAUUGUUGAAGGUAUUCAACUACCAUACUAAAUGCCAUGGUGUGAAUUAUCUUCAGAAAGCUAACAUUAUACUUUGAGAGGAAAUGGUUUAGUUCAGCUUUUUAUAUAUUAUUUGCAUCAUCCCAUGGUUAGUCAAUUUCGUUGAUUUAUUUUUAUCCUUGCAAACAUCUGUAUAUGCAUUUCUACAUGAUGCUGCAGUGAUGAGGAAUGUGUAAAUAUGAAGCAAGUUGAAAUGGCAUCAAAGUAAGUCAUAGUAGAUUGUUAUGGCAAGUAGAUGCAAUCCUUUCCCUCCAAGAAUAAUGGUUUCUUGAUGUCAUUCAGAUCUCACCAGGGAAUAUGAGACAAUGAGAAUUGAACUUUAUUGCAACAUAACUCAGCUAUUUUCAACCACGUUUAUUUGUACACAUAACAUGGCCAUAGCAAAUGAAACACUUCUUUUUCAUUAAUAGCAAACCAAAACAGAAAAAAAAACAUAGGAGAGUUGUGGGAGAGUUGGUACUAAAUCUAUUUCAAACAUCAUUGUAGAAUGAUUGCUAAUCUUGGGUAACGGAACAAUACAUUAGACUAAUGGCAGUAUUUAAAUACCAACGUUAAAUACACAUCAACAUCAGAUGACUCUAUACACCUAUCAAUGAACCAUAAUCUUCACUUCGAAUCUGAAACCAUAUUUAAACUUACCAUUGUACAGUGCCACCAUCAUCUGCUUCCUCCUUUGGAACAUAUCCAAUGACUAAAGAAAAUUAGCGAACCUUUGUAUUUAUCCAUUUUGCUUGUGUUUCACGGUAGUAGUUGCUACCCAGGUAUUUCAGACAUCACGGAAGCCACUCCCCUCUGCUGCUUUAGAUGCUACUACAGUUACUCCCCCCUGUUUUAUCAGGGAUUAACCCUUAAGCAUUCAGAUUACUCUGACAAAUGUAAUGCUUAUUUAUUUACAUUGUUUUGAAUUAAAUAUGCAUUAUCUCGUAGAUUUGAGAUUUCAAUGAUGUGAUUGUUCGGUUUUAGAAUGGCAUUGUAGGGUAGGUGCAAGAGACCAGAUCUGGCUAGUUUAAAUAUAAAAAAAUAUAAAGCAUAGGAUAUUUGGGCUGGAUAUGGCCAGUUUAAAUGUUAAAGGAUUAAGGAAGAUAAUCCAUUCUGGUGUUUAAGAAAUCACUGAACCUUCUGUCUUGAGUUGCAAUCGUUACUGAAUUUACUCCCCUCUGGUGUUCUAGGUUUUACUGAAGCUAACAUGUCCAAAUUUUCUAUCAGUGAUUACUAAGAAAAAUGAAAUCACGUAUUAGAAUGUAUUAGUCAUUGAAAAGUCCUCAAAAACAGUUCUUUAAAGUAAAGGCUAUUCUCUAACAUAAUGUGGCUGUCCUGGAUGGGGGGAUUCUUACUGUGGUGUAGCCCUUUGUGCUGGAUGGGGGUACUGGGCUCCCUAUUCGAAAAUAGGACACAGAUAUUGUAUCAUAUAGCCAGCUGGAAACUAUGUUUCCUGGGGCUAAACAACAGUAAUAAUUGUCCUUUCCAGGACAGCCACAUUAUGUUGGCAAAUAGCCUUUACUUUAAUAAGAUAGCUGAAUAACUAAAUUUACCUUUUUUUAACGUUCAGUUUUUUUGUUUUUCGUUUUUUCCAAAAUGAUUGGUUUGUUAUCUGAUUAUUUCAAUAUUAAGUCUGCAACUUAUCAUCAUCAUCAUCAGCAGCAGCAGCAGCAGCAGCUCAUCAUCUCUAUUAAAAAUCUCAUAAUGUUGAUUGUGCUAAAAGAAAUAAAUCAGUUAAACAGAAAACAAAACAUACAAGAGAAAUGUAUUCACACUUAUUCCUCCACUUCCGCCCACACACACACACGCACUUAUAGAACAGGCAUAGCUGUUUGGUUAAGGAGUUUGCUUCUUAACCUUAUGGUCUUGGGUUCAGUUCUACUGCAUGGUACCUUGGGCAAAUGCCUUCUACUAUAGCCCCAGGCCAACCAAAGCCUUGUAAGUGAAUUUCAGAUUGAAAUUGAAAGAAGCCCAUGAUAUAUAUGUAUAGAUAUCUAUCUCUUUGUGUGUGUGUGUGUGUGUGUGUGUGUGUGUCUUUGUGUUUGUGUGAAUGUGUGUGGUUUCAUGGUUAGGGAAUUUUGCAGAUCUCUUCAGUUUGGUUCACAGAUAUUUUUAAUUAUUUUUUUUUAACUAAACAGUUUGAAACUUUGUAUACUGGUGUCAUUUCUCGUGCUGAAUAUGGUUUACUUUCAGCAGGAUUUGAACUCAGAACAUAAAGAUGGAUGAAAUGCCACUAGGCAUCUUGUCCAGUUUGUUACCAUUUCUGUUACUAAGCCUUUCAUCUGGUCUGCUAACAAUUCUACCAGCUCACUGCUUUGUACUCAUACUAGUUAUGUUCUUCUCUUCUCUAGGCAUAAGGCCUGAAAUUUUUGGAGAGGGGGCUAGUCGAUUAGAUCGACCCCAGUACGCAACUGGUACUUAAUUUAUCACCCUGAAAUUAUGAAAAGCAAAGUUGACCUUGGCAGAAUUUGAACUAAGAAUGUAAAGGCAGACAAAAUACUGCUAAGCAUUUCACCCGGCGUGCUAAUGUUUCUGCCAGCUCUCCCUGCCUUUCCAUACUAGUUAUGUUAGCAAGGUGACUGAUUCUUUUUGUACUCUUUCUUUUUGGUGGGGGGAAGGUAAGGAUCAAUAAAAUAAAGUACCAGUCAAGUACUGAAUGUUAGUUUAAUAUACAACCUCUUCCUCAAAUCUAAGGCUUUAGGUUUGAGUCAAAAACAAUUAUUAGUUUAUUAGGGGUUGUAUCAGAUAGUACUGCAAAAUACAUUUAAAUAUGUAACCCAGCAAGGGUUUAAAUGUAACCCUGCAAGGGACUGGCGUCCCAUCCAGGUGGGAAAUAUAUGCGCCACUGAAACUGGGAAACUGGCCCUUAUGAGCCUGGCAUGGCUCAAAAAGGAAACAUUUAUUUUAAAGAUUUUUAUUCUUAUAAGUUAAUAUUAAGUUAAAAUAAGUUAAUAUUAAGUUAAUAUAGAACAAUAUAAGUUAGUAUCUCAUCAAAUAUUUCUUUCAAGUUUGGAACUGAAAUGACAGUUGGAUCCACAUGAAAGGUAGCCACCCUUGUUAGAUGUAAGCUCAUCUGGACAAUGUUAAGUGUCGUUUAAAUAUUUUAGAAUAUGUUAUCGUUAUUUCGGAACUUAAUAUCACAAUUACUGCAACUAUGAUUGAUCUUGACAUUUAUUUGCUUUUUGGGGUUGCUUUGGGUUUUUUUCUUCUUUUCUUUUCUUUUUUUUUUAUCAUAUCCUAGAUAACAUAUCUUUUCAUUACCCUCUGUCCAGAACAAUAAAGACUGUAAAAGAACGAUGACAACAUUACAGAAAUUAGCUAAAAACAAUUUCAACAGUUAACACCACCUCUGUGAUCAGCAAACCUCCUUUACCAUCGUUUAUGAUAACGGAAUGACCAUCAAAAUGUAUAUUAGUGCUACCUCUGUCACCGGUAAUGAUGGUGUUAUCAAACGGCAUCUUUAUUACCAUUUCAGCUCCAACCAAUUCUAUUUUCUCCCAUCAUCAUCAUCCUCAUCAUCAUCAUCAUCGUCGUCCUCCUUCUCCUCCUCCUCCUCCUCCUCCUCCUCAUCAUCAUCAUCAUCAUCACCCUUAUCAUCCUCAUCAUCCUCAUCAUCAUCCUCAUCAUCAUCUUCAUCAUCCUCAUCAUCAUCCUCAUCAUCAUCAUCAUCAUCAUCAUCAUCAUCAUCAUCAUCAUCAUCAUCAUCAUCCUCAUCAUUCUCAUCAUCAUCAUCAUCAUCAUCAUCCUCAUCAUCAUCUUCAUCAUUACUAUAAACACUGUUUUAUAUUGCUGUUGUUAUUUUCAUGCCAAUUAAUAUUUGUAAUAUAAUAAACAGUUUUCUUUUCUUUAUUUUUCAGGUAAGAUGUCCAUUUUCAAUGAUUUCGCAUAAAAGGUAAUUAUUUUUAAAACAUUUUUACACAAUUAGCUAUUCUAAUUGCAUAUACGUCUGUAAUUAUUGUUUUAAUUGGGUUUUUUCUUUCCCUGACUUUUGUUACACUAUUCCUCUCACCUCUCUCUCAUUGCUUUUGCUUUCUCCAUCCAUGCUGUUGCAUUAGUUAAGCAUUUAUCGCAAGGACAGAAACUAUCAAACCUGAAACAAUGCUGCUGAUGAUGGGCAAGAAAAUGAUAAAGAUGACAAUAAUGAUGACUCAUUUAUGUUGCACUGUUGCUACUACUACUGCUGCUGCUGCUGCUGCUGCUGCUGCUGCUGCUGCUGCUGCUACUGCUGCUACUACUACUCCCUCUAUCUGCCUGUCUAUCUUUUUUCUCUCUCUUACCAAAUUAAGUGUAGUCAUUGUUUGGUUAACCCUAUGCUGGCCUUGUCCAAGCAAAUGUAUAACAAUAGACAUUCCAGCCAUGACCAUUUCGUAUUUUACCUUUUUUUUUGCCAAUCAUUGUGAGUCCCAGACCACAUGAUACAGUGUGUCCUUUUCUAAAGUUGGUAGACUGUUCUUUGAGGAAGGUCUUUCUCAUUCUCCUUUUAACACCUACUUUUCCAUGCUUGCACUGAUCAGACAAAGAUACAAGAUGGAGUCUCUACGUCUAGCAGAUUACAUGACCAUGUAGAAGUCCCCUCAUUGACUCAUCAAAGCAUACUCCACGAAUGUCUGAAUUGAGAAAAUAAAAUAUCAGAGUCCAUGAAAAUAGUUUUCUAAAAAAGUGAAUUCUUUGACAGUUAGAUGUAGGGUGUUCUAUAUUUUGGGAUGGUUCCAGACCGAUGCCAGAUAAACAUUUAAAGCCAUUCCUGGCAAUCAAUUGUAAGCAAUCAGUCAAGUACAAAAAUAACCAAAGAAUUAAUAAUUUUGUUAAGUAAAACAAGAUUUUUGAAGUCUGCAAGUUUUGGCAGUGAUUUGGUAGAGCUGUUAGCGCAUUAUAUUGAGUGUCUUGUGGCACCUGUGUCUGUUAGUAUUGAGUUCAAAUCUCAUCCAUGUCAAAAUACCAAUUCAGUAGGAAAUGGAAUUGGUAGAAUUCUUAAAGCAUUAGACAGAAUACUUUCAGAUAUUUGCUGUUGCUCUUUGAGAUCUGUCCAUAGUGCAUUCAACUACACUGGUACCAAUUCAUACUGAGAUUGCCUUUCUCUUAGACAACAUUGGCAUCAGUUAGAGGUGAAAUUUAUAUGUCCUGGACAAUUGCUAGAGUUUCACAAAAGCUCUUUACCCAGACCUGCUACUUCAAGGGGACCUACCCAUGUACAGAUACUCAGAUCUUCUAUAACAGACAACAAAGGCCAUUGAUAUUCUCUUACACCGUUAACCCCUGUAGAAUGACCAAUGUAGAUGAGGGUAUACAGUUCUACUUAAAUGAUGUAUAAAUAUAUAUUAUAUAUUACAUUGGCUUGGUUUCUUAUUCAUCAUCUUCUUCUAAUUCUUCUUCAUCAUCAUCAUCAACAACAUUAUCAUCAUCACCACCAUUUUCUUCUUUUUCUUCUUCUUCUUUUUCUACUACUACUACUACUACUGCUGCUGCUGCUAAUGCCACUACUUUUGCUGCUAAUGCUGCUGCUACUACUGCUACUAUUACCACUGCUGCUACUACUUCUACAACUUUAUUAUUAUUAUUAUUAUUAUUAUUAUUAUUAUUAUUAUUAUUAUUAUUACUAUUAUUAUCAUUCCUUGUUACUCCCACUUUCAUAUAUCGCAACGGUCCUCACCACCAACGCUAUAAACCAUUUGAGGCAAACUUCACAUUACAAUAUUGCCUGCCAUCACUGACCAGAUUAUCAAUUAUAUAGUCCACCACAACAGAAUUGAGAUCCUAAACCCAAAAUGGCACAUAAAAAAGCAUUGGUGUGGAUGCUGGUGCCACGUGAAAAUCACCUAGUACAUUCUCUAGAGUGGUUGGCAUUAGGAAGAGUAUUCAGUUGCAGGAACCAAGCCAAAACAAACUAUGGAACCUGCUGUGGCCCCUGGCCUUGCCAGCUCCUGUGAAGUCGUCCAACCCAUGACAGCAUGGAAAAUGGAUGUUAAAUGUUGAUGAUGAAGAUGACAUAUAUACAAGGGUGGGCCAAAAUAUUAAUACAAAUAAGAAGUGCAGUACUUUCUGACUCAACCUCAAGUAUUUAUGAGCACGUGCAUAUUUAUAUAUGUGUAUAUGCCUCUAUGCAUGUGCGUGUGUGCAUGAAUGGACAUGAACAGGGACAUCACACAACUUCGCUCAUGACCAUCAUCAGUGAUAUGGUCUUUUUACAAUCCUUCUUGACAUUAAAACUAGUCAUUCUGGGCUUUCAAAAACCCUCUGGGGUAAAAAGAAAAGAAAAUCUUUUAAUUGUGAAACAGGCAUGAGUUGGAGACAAGAAGGGGAAUCUGACUGUAAAAUAGAGCCUCAGAAAAGAUGCCAUCAAACAAAUACUGGUCGUGAAGAAUGGGCAUUGAAGAAUUUAGUAUGUGCCAUUACACAUUCAUUCAUAGAUAUAAAGAUACACACACCACAUAACCAGAUAUAUACACACACAUAUAUAUAUUUAUCCAAAUGGAAAACAUUCAAACAUGAUACAUAAAAAUACCAACACAUUACUUAGUAUCCUACUUCACUCUGUUUCUUCUUUUUUUUUAUGCCAUUACAUUUUAUCACAAUAGAUUAUUACUGUAAUAUGCAGCUUAAAUCUCUAAUACAUUACCUUGACAUAUUUCAAUACAACACUACCAUAUUUCAGCUGCCGACAUUUGUUGAUUGUCUCGACUAUAUUUUUACUCUGCAUGCUUUUUUUUCUCUUAUGUUAUAUCAAAGUGAAGAAUCUACGACUGUGGAGUUAUUUAAAACUCACCAUUGACGUCUCCAAAUGUAACGACUGUAAUUCUCCAAAAAUAAAUCAUUAAUGUUAUAUAAACAUGUAAUCCAAAUUCUGUAGACAUGUACAAAUUAUAUAGACAUAAUGACCACAAGUACCCACUUUGAGAAUAAUCUAAACACACUAACCAAAUGAUGUAUAUACAAAAUGUCCAAAUUAUAUAUAUAUAUUAUAUACAUACGUAUAUAUAUAUGUUAUAUACAUAUGCAUAUAUAUACAUAUGCAUAUAUAUAUAUACAUAUAUAUAUAUAUAUAUAUAUAUAUAUAUAUAUAUGUGUGUGUGUGUAUAUCAUAUAUGUAUUACAUGUAUAUAUAUAUAUAUAUAUAUAUAUAUAUAUAUAUAAAAUAAUAUGUUACAAUUACUCAAUAGUCAAGAUAAAACUCUGAGUUUCAGAUGCCGUAGUGGAAAUCCAUAACACCACCUCUUCGGUUAUCUGGCCAUCUUGCCAUCAUUAUAGAUAAAUUUCCUCUAUUUACAUAAUAUUGAGGUCUCUUUCUUUCUUUUGUUAUCUUACCGUUUUUACCAAUAUAUAUAUAUAUAUAUAUAUAUAAAGAGAGCACAAAUUAUAAAUACUUUCUUCUACUUGUGUAUAUAUGAUGUCCAAGAUAUACAUACAUGAUGCCCAAAUUAUAUCUAUUCCCUGCCCAGAUGAUAUGUCACCAUAGGCAUCAUCAUCAUCAUCAUCAUCAUUUAAUGUCCAUUGUCCAUGCUGGCAUUGGUUGGACAGUUUGACCAGGGCUGGCAAGCUGGAAGGCUGUACCAGACUCCAGUCUGAUUUGACAGGGUUUCUACAGCUAGAUGCUCUUCCAACACUCUGAGAGAGUAAUGGUUGCUUUUAUAUGCCACCAUCAUGGGUGCCAUUUGUAUGACACCAAUAUGUAUAUAUAUGAGAGCAUUAAUUAUGUAUACAUUCUUCAAGGUGUGUAUAUACAUCAUCCAAAAUAUACAAACACCAAUGUCCAAACUUUACAGCCAUUGCUGUAUAGUUAAGAAGUCCAUUUUGCAACUGUAUUGUUUGGGGUUCAAUCCCAUAGUGAGGCACCUUGAGUAUCUUCUACUAUCACUCCAAAUCAACCAAAGCCUUGUAAAAGCAUUUAGCUAAUGGAAACUAUGUGAAGCCCAUCACACACAAACACAUGUGUGUGUGUGUGUGUAUGUGUGUAUUUUGGUGUUUUGCUUGUCUCUUUAUAAGCAUGGUAAUGCUAAUGUUGGUGACCUUUUUUGACAUAAUGUCUAUUUUCUUUGUCUUUUCAAAUACUUAUGGAAUAUAGAAAUAGCUUACCUGUAAAAACAGGAAAGGAUUGUGACAUGAAAAGUAUCUGUUAGUAUAAUCCUGUAAAAUCAAUUUCCUGUCUUAGCCAAGCUAGCAUUCAAAACUGGAUGUUAAAUGAAUAAAUAAGUUAUCCAAACUAUAAGCACAGUUAUAUAAGUGCAGGCAUGGUUGUGUGGUAAGAAGCUUAUUGCCAAACCAAAUAGUUCCUGGUUCAGUCCCACAGCAUGACACCUUGGACAAGUUUCUUUUAUUAUAGCCUUGGGUUAACCAAAGCCUUAUGAGUGGAUUUGGCAGACAGAAACUGGAAGAAGCUCAUUAUAUUUAUAAAUAUAUAUCUGUGUGUGUAUCUUUGUGUUUGUCCUCCGUCACCUCUUGACAACUGGUGAUGAUAUGUUCCUGUAACUUAGCAGUCCAGCAGAAGACACUGAUAAAAUAAAUCCCAGGGGUUCACUUCAUUCAACUGAAAUUCUUCAAGGUGGUGUCCCAACACAGGUGCAGUCUAAUGACUAAGACAGGUAAAUGAAUAAAAGACAAUGUAAGGGGUCUAAAUUAUAUUUUCUCAGCCUUCCUUCUUCAACGAAUUAAUUAAAAAAUAUAAUCCUUUGUUUCGUUUUGUUGGGCAGUGUGAAAAUAUAAUUUGCAUCUGGGGCAUUCAAUACCCUUGAGAUGACACACAAAGGAAUGGAUUGGUGUCUGAGACUGAUUGGUUUUGGUGAUAAAAUAUACAGCUUGUUCGUUUAAGGGAACAGAGGUUCUUGUUGUAGUUGUGGCAGAAAAGAGAAGAGGAGAAACAGUAUAAUAUGUAUACAGUUGUGGAAUCGAUAACUAUCUCCAAAUAUUUCAAACAAUGAUUCUUGUCAUCUUGGAAUGAAAUAAAAAUAGCCUAUAAUUUCUUCCAGACAGAUUUCAAAAACAUUUUAAAUCUUUUUUUCUUCUUUUUUUUUUUUUGAUACAUUGGUUUCUUCAACAACUCUAAAAUAUAAAAUAAAUUCUGGCUUCUAAUGUCUUCAUUCCAUUUUCCAUAUAGAUAUAUUGAUGUAGAUUGUUUUUUGUUUUUUUCUGUUAUUCAUUAUUUUUUUUUCUUCUCUCUUACUGUUCAAAAUAAACAGAGAGAAAUGUUAAUACUAUAUAACUUGGAAUGGAUGACUAAGCAAAGUAUAUUGAGAUAUUAAAUUUUGAAAGAAUCAGAUACUUCUCUGGUUUCAGGAAAUAAAUUUUAAGUGCUGAAGUUAACGAUUUUAGUUAACCUUAUCGAAAUAAUAAACAAGAAGUUUCCAAGAAGCAAAACCAGCAUAUAAACCAUCCAUAUUAAAUAUAAACCAUCCGUAUUAAAUAUGCUAACAUACAAUUUAUUUCAACUACUCUGUUAUAAUUGCUUAAGCUUGUAACUGCAAUGAUUUAGAGCCAUUAAGCAAGAAUUUUAAAUUACUGAGAUUUUAGGAAUAAAGAAACUGGAAGUGUGGGUGUUUCAAUUUUUCUCAUGAGUAUAAAUAACCUGCGAAAAAUAAAAAGGAUUCUCGUGGGAAUUGAAAUCAUAUCUCUCAGUUCGGAAUAAAUGUAAAAUCAACAAGGAUUAAAAGAAUUUAUUGUAAGGAACAGUAGAGACUACAGUCUGCCCCAUGAUGUUUGCUUUUGGCCAGUUUCCAAUCAUAUAUAAAUUGUUCUAUGAGAGGUGACUUUGUAUUUAACCUUUCACCAUUUCUGAAGAAAAAAUUGCUGGAAGUGGUCCUCCACUCUCCUUCAAACAAUGUAACCAAUUCCAAGUGAAUUAAAGAUGAAGAAAAAGAAUUAAUUUCCAAAUCUAACUUUAUUGAUCAACCUUGGACGGAUAAAAGACAAAAUUUAUCAUGGCAGGAUUUGAACUCAGAUAGAAGAGAGGCAGAUGAAAUUAGAGUGAGACAUUACUUCAGCAACUCUACCAACUCAUUACAUUGUUAGUGUUAGAAGUAAUACCUGAAAGUGCAACAGGUGAUUAACGAAGAUACCUACCCUAAUUGUAAAGAGAUUUUUCAAAAAAAUCUGUCGUAAGAUAUGAGGUUUCUGUCAUUCAACUGGCUUACUUGGAAAUUAGGUAUCAAUCCUGAAAUUAUGACUUUUUGGUAAAUGUUGCAAAAUGUCAUGAGAAUCAGAUCUACAAAAUGGUUUUAAUUCUCGCUUCUAGCAGUUCCGCAUACAUCAUUAAUUCUCCUGACAAAAGCAUUGCUAUAACACAGUCUUAUUACUCCUCCCACCUACCCCCUUCCAACCCCAUCUCUUCAUCUGAAACCUCACAGUGAUUGCAGCUGAAUAACAUUACUACCAGUCAUAAAACAUAAACCUGCCAUAAGUGAGUCAGUUUACUAUUUUACUGCCAUUUUUGUUUUUUGACUUUUCCAAGUUUGAGCUUGCAUGGAGGUAAAGGAUGGGUUUUGUUGGAGUAAUUAUUUUUAGUGCUUCAUGUCCUACUGCUAACUCUAAAAUGGGAGUGUUGCAACUUGUUUCUUGUUUUUUGUUUUUUUUGUCAAUCAAGUAAAAUGCAGUAAGCUGAGGUUUUGUGCUUUGUCAGGUGAACACCACAAUGCCUAUGAUGUUUUCUUUUCAACUUAUGACCUCGUAGUCAAUAUUCCCACUUCUUCACAUUCUAGACAGUGUAACAUGUAGAAAUAUGUGUUACUAUGUACACAAUUGUAUCUAAUCGAGCCUAGAAAAAGAGAUUAAAAUGGAAAAAAAUAUUUCUUCUAUUAUUUGUAUAUCAUUGUCUGUUAAUAAUAUGCGUAUGUAUAUUAAUUCUGUUUUUAGUUUAAGAAAAUGAAACAAAUUUAAUUUUAUAAUCUGCUCAAAUUAUUAGCCAUUAUACUAUAAAAAUGUGGAACAAGUUUAAAGUAACUUUGUAGACUGCUAAAAGUAAUCUUACCUGUUGUUGACUAAAUUACUGAUGGAUACUCAACCAUUGAUGUCAAUGCCAACACUAGCUGAGAAAAGAAAUUCUUAUCUUUUCACCAAUAAGUGGUCUUUCAUAACCACACCUGCCAAGAGAAACCCCCCACUAAUUCACAAUCAAACUCAAUUAUUUCCAGUAAAAUCUCCACCCCCUAAUUCAACACUUUCUAUACCAUAUUUCCUAUAAUGGUACCAUUUUGAAUGCACAUGUACUGGUAGCAUGUAAAAAGCAUCUAUUCUGGUAUGAAGCAGUGCUGGUGCCAUGUACAAAAUCAUACAGGCCACUCUGUAAAGUGGUUGGUGUUAGGAAGGGCAUCCCAUCAUAGAAACCAGGCCAAGGUGGCGAGCUGGCAGAAACGUUAGCAAUGCUUGGAGAAAUGCUUAGUAUUUCGUCUGUCUUUAUGUUAUGAGUUCAAAUUCCGCCAAGGUUGACUUUGCCUUUCCAUCUUUUCGGGGUCGAUAAAUUAAGUACCAGUUAUGCACUGGGGUCAAUGAAGUCGACUUAAUCCCUUUGUCCGUCCUUGUUUGUUCCCCUCUAUGUUUAGCCCCUUGUGGGCAAUAAAGAAAUAAAAAACCAGGCCAAACUGAAAAUCAGAGCCUGAUGCAGCUCCUGUCAAACCAUCCAACCCAUGCCAGCAUGGAAAAUGGAUGUUAAAUGAUGGUGAUGAUGAGGAUGAUGAUGAUGAUGAUUUCUCUUGGUAUACAUUGCCUUUGUUUCAAUAAAUUUUGAAAAUAAACGAAGAAUUUUGUAAAAUAAGGGAAAAUUUUGUAAAAUAACUUUGUCGUUAUUAAUCUGGUGUUUGCAACAUAAUCUAACAUAAAAUUUUGAUGGAAACUUUUAAUGUAAAUCACUUUGGAAUAGUAAGUUUGUUUCAAAGAACCAGGGUUGAUCUCAGGCAGGCUGGUGUCAAACAGGCUGAAAUAACUCCGUCUGCUGCUAUUAAAAUCUCAGCAACAAAAUUAUAUUAACACAAACCAUUGCUCUCAAAUAAAAGUUUGUAUAAUACAAGCAAUUAUUCUAUGUUUAAUGUAUAAAAUUGUUAUUAGCAAAUCUAAUGACACCUGAAUUUUUAAUAAGCUCUACAUGGCAAAUGAAAUACAUUUGGUCCAAUAUCAUAGCAAUUAAGCUUUAUAGAAUAUUCAUAGGUUUUAGUAACAGAGGAAGUAACUAUAGAAAUUUAAUUUCCACUUCUUUUUUAAAAUUCUAAUAAAAACCAGUGUGAAAUAUUUGUUUCUCUCAUCUGAAAUAUAAUAAAAAUUAGAAUUUAAAAAUUAGUUUAAUUCUCUCAUUUAUUUUAUACUGCAAACAAUUUCUUGCCAAAUAUUUUCCAUAUUUCAUGGGUACAGAGGUAGGUGUGUGGUUAAGAAGUUUGCUUCUCAAGCAUGUGGUUUUGGGUUCAAUCACAUUGUGUGGCCCCUUGAGAAAAUGUCAUCUUUUGUAGCCUGAGGCUGACCAAAACCAUAAGAGUGAAAUUGUUGAGCAGAAAGAAGCCUAUUAUAUAUAUAUAUAUAUAUAUAUAUAUAUAUAUAUAUAUAUAUCAUCAUCAUCAUCAUCAUCGUUUAGCGUCCGUUUUCCAUGCUAGCAUGGGUUGGACGGUUCUACUGGGGUCUGUGAAGCCAGAAGGCUUCAUCAGGCCCAGUCAAAUCUGGCAGUGUUUCUACGGCUGGAUGCCCUUCCUAACGCCAACCACUCCGUGAGUGUAGUGGGUGCUUUUUACGUGCCACCCGCACAGUUGCCAGACAGAUAUAUAAAGAUAUUUUAAGAUCCACAAAGAUCAGAACUUAUCUGCAGCUCUUGGUGGUCCAAAUCAGAUAUGCAAUCUGUGUGGGUGCCUUUUCAGAACAUUGUCUAGUUUAAAAAGCCGCAUGAGAUGCCAUGAUGAUGCUGAAGUGUAUGCACAGGAGGUGGUCAAACUCUGCAUAAGUAGUAGAAAACCACCAUAUAUAUAUAUAUAUAUAUAUAUAUAUAUAUAUAUAUAUAUAUAUAUUAUAUAAUUAGGGCUUAGUAAAAUAAAUUACUUUGCCACAUACUGAACUCAGUAGAAAUAGCAUCCAAAAUAUAUAUAUAUAUAUAUAUAUAUAUAUAUAUAUAUAUAUAUAAGUGCAGGAUGGCUGUGUGGUAAGAAGUUUGCUUCCCAACCACAUGGUUCCAGGUUCCGUCCCGCUGUGUGGUACCUUGGGUAAGUGUCUUCUACUAUAGCCUCAGGCUGACCAAAGCCUUGUGCGUGGAUUUGGUAGAUGGAAACUGAAAGAACCCCAUUGUGUAUUUAUAUAUAUAUAUAUAUAUAUAUGUAUGUAUUUAUGUGUGUGUGUCUCUGUUCCCCUACCAUUACUUGACAACCAAUGCUGGUGUUUUUAGUGGUUCGGCAAAAGCAGCCGAUAGAUUAAGUUGUAGGCUUACAAAGAAUAAGUCCUGGGGUCAAAUUCUUUGACUAAAAUAAAGACAAAACAAACUUGUGUAUAUUCUGCUAUUAAAAGUCAUUAUUAAAACUGUAAAAUAUUCUAACAUAUUGUAUAAUCUUCUGCAGUUAUCUAUCUAUCAAACAAACUACAUGAAGUUGACAGGGGUUUUUUUUUCAGCAAUAACCUAGAACUUCAUGCAAAAUCAAUGUCUAGUUUUGUAGAGUUCAUAGCUGAUAGUUUCACCAUUGCUUAGAAAAUAUAGGGUAAUACUGCUCAGAUAUGAAAACGAGGCUGGCUGCUUAGUGCAAUUUUGAUUUAGUUUUUCAUCUUAGCUGCCAGCAUAUAAUCACACAUGAAAAGACUUGUGGGAUCAGAUAAUCUUAAUUAAAAAAGAAAAAAAGCCCAAGAUGAAUAUAAAAGCAUUUGAAAUUUGGUUUGGGGAUUCUUUUUAUAUAUUUUAUUAUUAUUAUUUUAACUUUAUGUUUAAUUGUUGGAAAUAUGCUGUACUGGAAAUCUUGGCGUCCUUUAUUUUUUUAUCCAGCUAGUAAGUGUGUUGUACAGGUGUACAAUAAGAAGCUUAUAUUCAUGAUUCAGCUAUAGAAUAUGAAAUAGAAGUAAUUGAUGUAUGCAGAUAUCAUGAAUAUGAUAUAUGAAUAUGAUAUCUAAAUAUUUCAGAUUGCUGAUUAUUACGAUGAUAUACAUACAUAGAUACAUAUAUACAUACAUAUAUAUAUAUAUAUAUAUAUAUAUAUAUAUAUAUAUAUAUAUAUAUAUAUAUAUAUAAGAGAGAGAGAGAGAGAGAGAGAGAGAGUGUAACAGUGGUAGAGAUGUAAGAUGCCAUCAGAAAUACACACACACAUAUAUGUGUAUGAAUGUAUAUAUAAAUAUAGAUAUAUAUAUAUAUAUAUAUAUUUAUGUCCAUGUAUGUACAUAUGUAUGUGUGUAUAUAUAUAUAUAUAUAUAUAUAUAUAUAUGUAUAUAUAUGUAUAUAUAUAUAUAUAUAUAUAUAUAUAUAUAUAUAUAUAUAUAUGAACAGGCGAUUGGAAAAUAGUUUUGAUAUUAUGUGUGCACCAUUACAUGUGUUUCAUUUGCUAAUAGGAGUUACAAAGGAGAAACAUGUAAGAUACCUCCUAUUAGAAAUUCUUCAACAGAGAAUCGAUAUCUUGACAUUGUGAGAUUCUUGUAAAUGAGUGUUGUUUAUUUCCAAUACUCUGUUGAAACAUGUCUGAUGAUGGGGGGAUAUUAUCUUACUUGGAGACAACUAAGAGUUGGUUACAGGAACGGUAUCCAGCCAUAGAAAUUCUGCAUUAAGAAACUCUCUUCCCUUUCAUGCAAGUAUGAAAAGUGGAUGUUCCUAUGAUGAUGAUGAGGAGGAGGAGGAGGGAUAGAUAGAUAGAUAGGCUGACAGACAAACUGACAGACCGACAGACAGACAGAUAGACAGAUAGUGUAGUUUGACUCGUUCUACUCAAGAUAAGUAUCGUCAUCUGCAAUUGCUUUCCUUGUCAUCAUUGCCUUCACAAUGAAACUUCUCCUCUUUGAUAUUCUGUGUUGGUGUUGGUUGGCUUUCAUUCAUUUCAGUUUUUUGUCAUUUUGUUCCAUGAAGCUCAGCAUUCUCAGAUGGCUUCUUCACCACUUCUUCCUAUCUCUACUUUUGUCUAUCUUUGUCACAUGAAUGAACCACUGUCGACUUACAUUAGUAAGUAGGACAUCAUUUAGUUAUUGGCCAUUUAUUCCAGCAUAUGACCAGAAAUUACAUUAAUUAUAAACUGCUUUAAUAUGACAUUUUAAGUCAACUUGAAUAACAUUUGAACUGUGGUCUGUAAAUCAUUAUAUCAUUCAUCAAUCAAUGAGAUUAAUCAGGCACUUUGCCAUGAAGGAAUGUCUAACUGAGAAGUGAUUAAUAAAUUCUUUAAAUAAGUUAUAAAGAACAGGAUUUGUCUGUUUCAUAAUAAAUUAUUAUGAUAUGUUAAUUUAUAUUUGGAAGCUAUAAUUGAUAUUCUGCUUACUUAAGGUUAAGUGGUAGUUGACUUUCCUGGAUAGUAGAUAGUGACUUCAAUAGCUGCUUCACAGUAGGAUCAAUCUGCCUGAGAUGAGCCACUGUUCAACUGGCUCUCACUGACGGUAAAUAGUGUAAGUUCCUUGCCCAGGGUUAUAGGUUUCUGUCUAUGGGUAAAAAUUUGCAUUGCUUCACAAGAGAAAAAUCUAAGAAGUAAAUCUUGGAAUAAAUCUGAAGCGGAGCCUCUAAAACAGUCUGGCUUUUUGAUUUCGUACUAUUUCACUAACACAAGCUCUGUGUGCCUUUAAACUACACCAGAAAGGCCAAGGGGAGAAUUCUCUUGUCUAGAUAAACCAAACUUUCCAUACAUCCAGCCUAGGCUUGCAUUCUGGAGCAAUCGCUUAGUUACUGACCAGCAGUGUACAGCCCAUCGUACCACUAGACUAACUGAUGCCAAAGAAGAAUUAACUUUCAAUUUGAACCUUUGAUGCUAAAUUUAAAAUUAUACUAAUCAAAGACAUUUAUUUCAGACCACUAUUUUCACUUUUGAAAUAAUUUCAUCUACAGAGGUAAACAAACUUCAAAGAAUCCUUUAUCAAAGCCAUUGCUUCCAUGAUUACACUCACUUAGCAUCUCCUCUGUAAUGCUGAUGGAAUUUCCCAUGGAGUCUAUCUAAAACAGAAUUCUUGCCCCAGAUCGAUUGCAAUAUGUUGGUUCCUUUUAUAAUUGAGUUCAGAUUAUUUAUUUUUUUAAAUAGAAUAGUUUGUGAUUUAACUGAAUCAACAGACAAUUGAUUAAGUGUACCUUUACAUGCAAUAGCAGAAUAAAUUGUUCCAGUUGAAUAAAUAUUGUAACCAAUAUAAACUGAAUUGAGAUCUCCAGCAUUCCAACCUCAUUUAUCGCUACUUCUAUAUAGAAAUCAACUUUGACUUUCUAAUCAGCUAAUAAAGCUCUUUUAUCACGAAAUAAUUUCAAUUAUAAAUUAUGUGCUUUCAAAAAUGAAAAUUCGAGUCAAAGCAAGUCUCCAAUAAUUUCAAUAAAAGCAAAAAAAAAAAAAAAGAAUAUUUAAUGUAAUAAUCAUAAUUAUAACAACAACGAGGAUGGUUUUUAAGAAAUAAAAGGUUAUUCUGACCUUAUUCUUUCCAGAUACACAAAUCUCUAUUUCAUCUCUAAUCCACAUCUGACGUCCCAGUUACACACUCUAUAUUCUAGCAUACUUCUAAAAGGGAAUGUUAGGGAUUUGUAUGGAAUAAACACUCCCUACUCUAUGCAUCUUUGUUGCCCAAACAUUAUCAAUAGAAAUAUCAUGUUUAUCUGGAUGAAUGUUGUUCUUACCCAUUUCUUUAAGUUGAUCUGUUAUGUCAUUCAGGUUUCUCCAGUCCUUGUAUUUUGUUUGACAAAGACUUACUCAGUGACCAACCAGCAUAUUCUUUUCUUCUCUCUCCUACUUCUACCGAAACUACUACAAAACUACCCCAAAACUACUACAAACCUACUUCUGCUUCUGUUAAUCUGAACUUAUCUCUACCAGCCAGCAGAUCCUUCCACUUGACAUCUUCCAUUUACACCUCUUAUGUCUCUCUCCCACUAAUCACAUACUGAACAGUGAGCUUUAUCCUUCCUCCCCAAAGUGGAAUCCCACAGAAAUAUUAUCUCUUUUGCUUUUCCCAAUAGACCACAUGAACUCAAGACUUAACCACUAAACCUAUUAAUUUCAAAUUCUUUGGAAAAUUACUAUUUUUAAAUCUCACAAUGUGAGAUAUUCAGCAACAGUACUUUGUAGUAAAGAUUAUUUGUCAACAUAACAUGGCAGUCCUGGUUUAGGACGAAUGUUGCUGUAAUUUAGCCCCAGGAAAUCGCAAUACACAGAUAUUGUUAUGAGCUGAGUGGGGGUGCUAGAUUCCCUUGUUCAAAAAUAUAGGGACACAGAUUGUAUCAUAUAGCCAGCUGAAGACGAUGUCUCCUGGGGCUAAAUUACAGCAACAUUCGUCCUAAACCAGGACUGCCCUGUUUUGUUGGCAAGCAAUCUUUACUUUAAAUUCUUCGUUUAACUUUCUGAUAAAGAAAAGCAAAGUUAUUGUCUUAGUUUGCAGUUACUGCUAUUUUUAUGGUUGCAAUUGUUGCUGUUUGUUGUUGUUCACAUUUUAUUUUCUGUUUCUUUUAUUAACUAAACGAGGCUCAUUUGUUUGUUAGGUGUUCCUGUAAACAAAUUUUACACCUUGUUAAUUUACUUUAAACUCUAACCUAUUUAGGCCAGCCAUUUCGCAUUGUAACUGUUUGAACCAAACAGAAAAUGGACAACAAAAAGUUAUUGUCAAAUAAAACAGUUUUUACACUGUUUCGGCUUCCCCCUUCUGAGAAUACUCAGGCAUGACACCAAACUAGUUAAACAAGCAAAGGAAGGGGUGUUUUUGUUUGUUUAUUUUUUGAUUUUUGUAUUUUUUUGGUAUCUGUAAUAAAAGGUAGUAGUGUUUUACACUGAUUGUGUCAGGUAAUUGGAAGAAAUUAGUGUUCAAAUCACUAAUAACAACUAAAUAUACACUUUGGGAAUUUAGAAGCUGAUUAGCCGUUCUAUGACUCAAUUGUAUUUUCAAUUUCAGACAUUUGAUUGAUUCUUUCAAAAAAAAAAUCAAUAACGGGCAAAAAUAAAUAAAAAAGAUAUAUAUAUAAAAAUAAUUGGCAAAAAAUAAAAAAAAAUACAAUAUAAAUAAACCGUAAAAUUAUAUAUAAAUAAAGAUCGAGAAACAAAAUUCAAUAAAUAAAUAAAUACAAGGAAGUAAAUAGUAAUUUUCUAGUGAAUAUUAUUUGAGUUCAAAUAUAAUAACAAAGCGUUUGGAAAAUGAAAAUGGGUAGUUUAAAAAAAAAUAAACAAAACAGUUUUUUCAAUUGCAUACACGUACACCUACAUACCUAUACAUGGAGAGGCAAUCACAGGUGAAUACACACAGGUACACACUGAUAAAUACAUACGUACAUAACUGUAUAUAUAUAUAUGUAUAUAUAUAUAUAUAUAUAUAUAUAUAUACACACAUAUACAUAUGUAUAUACACUUAUAUAUAUAUAAACACAUAUAUUUUUGUGUAUCUAUGCAUAUAUAUAUAUGUGUGUGUGGAUAUGUAUAUGUAUAUAUAUAUAUAUAUAUUUAUAUACAUGCAUACAUAUAUAUACAUAUAUAUAUAUAUAUGUAUUUAUAUGAGUGUAUAUAUAUAUGCAUAUACACACACACACAUAUACAUAUACACACACUAGUAACAUACAUAAGCACACAAAUUGAACGAAUACAAAUGGUAAUAUAUAAUAAAAGAAUUUAACCCACCUGAAUGACUUGUGGUGAUAGUGUGUGUGUGUGCAUGCGUCUAUGGGUGGAGGGUGGAGCGUAUUACAUUUUUCCAAGACAAAUGAAAUACUAAUUUGUAGCAGCCUUGAGUCACAAUGCUGUCAAAACGGAAUUAAUUAUAAAUCGCAGCAGCAAACGUAGUCAAUAAUUAUAGAAUACUAAUAGUCAGAGUGUUCAGUGAGUGCGUGUGUAUAUGUGCAUGCAUAUGCAUGUGCGUGUGUGUGUGUGCGUGUGUGUGUGUAUGUGCGUGUGUGUGUGUGUGUGUAUAUGUGAAGUUGGGUAACCUCCAGUGAUUGUUGAAGUCAAACUAGAAGUAAAAAAAGUAUUAUUAGUAACAACACUACAAGUAGUAGUAGUAGUAGUAGUAGUAGUGACAAUGGUUAUUGUUAAAUUGCUCUCUUUUCUCUUUAGCUGGUAGGCUUAAUCAUUUACUCUGCUUAACACAUGCCCUCCAGCUCCCCCUAUCUUCAGGUACCUUUAACAGAUUCAAGCUCUACUGCAGGUGUAUGGUCCAGGUCUCUGGCAUUGAAGAUAUCGUCUUCUCUUCCUACCAACUAUCUUGAGGGCCCUAAACAAAAACAAAAAAAGGUCCUUAAACAUUAACCUUCAUUCUCUGACCUGUUUGUAAGAGUGAGUGUCAAAAACUGUAGCAUUCAUUGCUCCGUUAUAAAGAAAUAAAAAUGGUUUUAAAACGCAAUGAAAACCAGGUCAUGAAUGACAACAACUGCCAAAAUCUCUUUGACUGAUUCUGAAAUUCAGGUUACAAAAUUACAAAAGAACUAAAAAACAGAAAAUAGUGAUGGAUGACAAAACUGAAAUGAGUUGGACGAAAUUAUCUUUAAACUGACACAGAAUUAUUGAUACUGAUAUUAAAUUUUAAUAAUGCAGUGAAUGGGGAGAAUCAUUAGAAAUCAGGAGUAGUAUGCUUAGUAGCAGUUCAUCUGUCUUUACGUUCUGAGUUCAAAUUCCACUGAGGUCGACUUUACCUUUCAUCCUUUUGGGGUCGAUAAAUUAAGUACCAGUUGCGUACUAGAGUCCAUCUAAUCGUCUGGCCCCUUCCCAAAAUUUUAGGCCUUGUACCUAGAGGAGAAAAGAAUAUUACAUGGAUAAGGGCAGUUUAUUGGACAAAAUGGGGUAUUUGGUUACAUUUCUGUUUUGAGUUCAAAUCCUGCCACAGUCAACUUUGCCUUUAAAUUAAUGAACCUUUUAAAUUAAUGAACCCUUCAUGUACCAGAAUGGAUGUAAUCAACUAAUUCUUUUCCUUCAAAAUUUCUGGUUUUGAACUUCAAUUCAAAAUUUUUUUCCAAUUGAGAAGGUAAUCUCUUGAAAUUAUGGUUAAACAAAUAUUCGUUGCAGUUAAGCUGAACAACAGCAAUGCCCAACAUGAUCAAAUCUCUCAAGCUGAAAUUGAAGUAAUUUCAUAAUUGAUGUAAUGUACUUUAUAGGAUUUAACCCUUUAGCAUUCGGACUACUCUGUCAAAUGUAAUAUGUAUUUAUUCACAUUGUUUUGAAUUAAUAAUAUGUUAUCCUGUAGCUUUGAGAUUUCAAUGAUGUGAUUGUUUAUUUUUAGAAUGACAUAGUAGGGUAGGUAUCAAAGGUCAGAUCUGGCUAGUUUGAAUAUAAAACAAGUAAAAUAUUUGAGCCAGAUAUCGUUGGACUAAAUGCUAAAGGGUCAAUAUAGUUUCAAUCAAUUGAAAUGUUGAUGAAGUGUAACCAGCCCAAUGGUCAUUGAUCAAAUGAUAAAAAUAAGUGAAAUUCAAUAACAUGAAAUGGAAAUAUGCAAAUACCAUUUUUGAAAAUUCCAGUUAAGGAUAAUGGUGAGGUAUAUGGCCUUGUGGUUAGGGUAUUGUCCGCAUGAUCAGAAGGUGUUGUUUCAAUUCCCAGACGAGGUGCAUUGCAUUCUUGAAUAAAACAUUUCAUUUCAUGUUACUCCAAUCCAUUCAGGAGUGAGUAACCCUGUGACAGACUUCAGGAGAAAUAUUGUGAUCUCAGGCCACUUAUAUGCUCUGUAAACCAGGUAACAGGCUCUCUGAACCCACAGACUCAAGACAGUACUUACUAUUUAAGGAAAUUGAACCAGGUUUUAGAAUUAAUUUCUAAGCUAAUUAAGCUUUUUUGUAUGAAAACAUAGUAUUAAUACCCAAAAUGGGUUUCAAAUGAACCAUUUUUCUGAGCUGUGACAUACCCUUGGAUAACUUAAUCAUCAUCAUCAUCAUUUAACACCUGUUGUCCAUGCUGACAUGGAUUAGAUUGUUUGACUGGGUUGGCAUGCUGAAAGGCUGCACCAGACCCAGACUCCACUCUGAUUUGGCAUGGUUUUCUACAGCUGGAUGCCCUUCCUAACACCACCUUCUCUGAGAGUGUAAUGGGUUCUUUUACAUGCCAUCAGCACGGGUGUCUUUUGCAUGACACCAGAGUGCAUUUGUGUGCCACCGGCAAUGGUGCCAAUUUGUCUGACACUGGUAUCUGCCAUGACUAUGAUUUUGCUUGGCUUGAUAGAUCUUCUUCCCAAGCAUGACAUAAUGCCAAAGUCUUGGCCAUUAUUUCCAUGAGGCCCAUCACUCGAAAGGUACACAGCCACUUUGCCUCUGUGAGGCCCACAAUUGUUCACCUGAAUAACAAAUACUAAAUAUAUUGAUUCUCUUCAUCAGGUCAUGAGGCCAGUUCCAUUUUUUUCAGAGUAAUCUACAGAAAUUGACUUAGAAUCAAUUAAUUCAAUACCAACAUAAAUCCAAUUUUUAUGUUAUUGACACCAGAAGCAUUACAGAGUGACGGUUUAAUUUACUGCAAUAAAAUUAUAGUAUUUAAGUCCUGCAAAACACUCAUUAUUGAUCUCAUCAUUAUUUACCAAUUUUAAAUUCUUUAAAUUUCCUUUUUCCAGAGAAUAGAUUUUUAGGAUUUGAACCAUUUACCUCAUUCUAAUUUUUCUUGAUUGACAUCAGAAAUCCAUUUUUUUUCUAAUUUAGAAUUUGCUAAUUGACAGAUAAUUUUUAUUUGUCAUUCAAUACUAAGAUGUCGAAUCUAAUAAUCAUAUUUCAAUAUCUAGAUUAAUCAUCAAUCACAUAACAAUUGUCAGUUAUAUCAUUCAUCAGUCCAUUGAGAGUAAAUAUAUUAAUCACCCAUUGUCAUCAUUUUUCCUGAUGAACCACCAGAUGACCAAACUGAUGGUGGUUGGGGUAUGAUCAAUGCUUAAUCCAGCAUUUUAAUAAAAUUAAAUGUGUAUGUGUGUAUCUAUCUAUCUAUCUAUAUCUAUCUAUCUAUCUAUCUGUCUGUCUGUCUGUCUGUCUGUCUGUCUGUCUGUCUGUCUAUCUAUCUAUCUAUCUAUCUAUCUAUCUAUCUAUCUAUCUAUAUAUAUAUAUAUAUAUAUAUAUAUAUAUUGUUGUAUUUAGGGAUGGUCAUGUUGCCAGUUUAGCCAAUAAAAACACACGCACUAUAUAUUUGGUGUUCACUUGCUUCAGCCUUAUUUUAUUUUUUACAGUGUGGUUUUGGUGGUUUUGACUGCUUCUUCUAGCGGGUAAAAUUACCUGUUAAAGGUAGUUUUUCUUGUGUUUAAAUGUACACUAUUAUAUAUAUAUAUAUAUAUAUGCACACACACACACACCCUAACAAUGGAAGUAACCAUUGGAAGUGGGAGACACAGGAAGACAUGGGAUGAGGUGGUGAAGCAUGACCGUCAAAUGUUGGUCCUCACAGAGGCAAUGACAAGAGACUGAGACCUAUGGAGAUAUGCUGUGAUUGAGAAGACCCAGCAAGUUAAGUGAGAUCACAGCCAUGGCUGAUACCACUAUUGCAUAACCAGCCCAUUUAAAAGUACCCUUGAAUCAUCAGGUGAUACACUGUGCUUGAGAAGAACUAUUGAGUCGAGUAAAAUCAAAAAAUCAAAAUCAAAAUGGAAAUCUUAGUUGUGGCCAAUGCCAGUGCUACCUGACUGGUUCCCAUGCUGGUGGCACUUAAAAAGCACCCACUACACUCUCAGAGUUAGGAAGGGCAUCCAGCUGUAGAAACCUUGCCAGAUCAUAUUGGAGCUUGGUGCAGCCUACUGACUUGCCAGUCCUCAGUCAAACUGUCCAACCCAUGCCAGCAUGGAAAAUGAACGUUAAACGAUGAUGAUGAUGAUGACGACAUAUAUAUAUAUACUGCAUUCUGCAAGUACAUCUCACCAAUGAAAGAUGUGCUUGCUGCUUGCAGUCCCAAAUAUUUCAAGAGGUUAGUGCUUUUGUGUGGCUGUUUGAGUUAAAUUUUAGUUCACAUUUCUAGCAAUUGUAAGUGCUAUUUUGCAGGGUCAAUUAUCAAUUUUCCUUUUUGGUUUUACUUGCCAUAACCACCUAUGUUAUAAUCUAUUCAAUACAUCUUAAUAUAUUAAUAUAUUAUAAUAUCUUAUUGUAUGUAUGUGUGUGUGUGUGUGUAUUUAUCUUCUCUCUAUAUAUAAACGGCAGUUUGUCUGUGUGUGUUUCUGUGUGUCUGUUAGGUUGUACCCUCACCCUGACCACGGCUUUCAACCGAUUCUGAUGAAACUUGACACACACAUAGCCCAAUGUCAUAAUUCAAAACUAACGCAGCGAAAAUUUUGAAAAGUUCCCCCAGUUCUGAAAAAAAUCGAUAAAUUCGACAUGGGGUCGAGAAUCAGAAACACAAACCACAGACUGUCUAGGGGGCGCAACUCGACCUUUUUAACUAAAAAAAAUUUACCAUCAUUUUUUUUCCAUUUUUUGGCUAUAACUCUCUAAAAAUGCAUUAUAGUUAUUUCCCUUACAAACCCGAGCAACGCCGGGCGAUACUGCUAGUAUAUAUAUACAAGGGGUGCAGAAAAGUUUCAUCUUUAGCAUGUGUCAAUGUCUCUUGGCUGCUGGAGUUAAAGUAAGACAAUUGUGCUGAUGAUUGCUAGGGUCGUCCAUAACCAUCCACUUAUCUCCAUCCAAAAAGCAUGUUAACUUCCAAAAUUCCUUCAUUCUUGAAUUUAUAUCACCUUCUUAUAUGGAACUGGUAUUGAUUUGCAUUGGGUAAUUGUGACACAUCUUGUGGUGGAAAUGAUUUUAACAAAUAAGGACACUAAGUUGUAUGGUAUUUGAUAUACCUAUAUUUCCAUGUCUGUGUGUGCAUCUGUCUCUGUCUGUCUAUCUCUCUCUCUCUCUUUCUAUCUCUCUGUAUAUGGUAUAUAUACAUGUGUAUAUAUGUAUGCAUGACUGUGUAAGCCAGCUGCUAUAUUGAAAAGUUUGUAUCUCUAAAUGAUGACUCAUAGUGGAAUUAGAUUUCACAACACCAAGAUAAUGAAUGAUGGGUGAAAUAUAUACAGUGGUCUUGCUUUCUUACUAUGAUCAAUUUACACCUCCGGAAUCAAACCAAUUUUUUAGCAAAACUGUAUGUUUAAGAACAGCCAAAGUAUUGAGAAUAAUAUUUGGAUGUGUCACUCUUCAUAUACUCAGCCAAAAUUCUUCAGAACCUGUUAGUUUACAACUUGCAAAGAUAAGAUUUCAGCUUGUGUAUAAUGAAGAAAUAUCGAAGUAAAAUGCAUAAGACAGGACACAAGAAUUAUUUUCUGCCAUCAGAAGAAUAGCUUCAGGGAAUUCAUUUCUAUCUGAAGUCUUGGAAAUGGAUAUCAGAAAAUGUUGAGGAAGGUUAACAAUAAUGUCAAACCUAUGUAAUCUAUGUAUCUAUGUAUCGUUCCGUCACACACACACAAGCACAAACCUAUAUAUACAUAUAUAAACAUAUAUAUAUAUAUAUGCAUAUAUAAACAUAUGUAUGUAUAUAGAUAGAUAGAUAGAUAGAUAGAUAGAGAGAGAGAGAGAUACAUCCUUCCAUACAUAUGUAUAUAUAUAUAUAUAUAUAUAUAUACAUAAAUAUAUAAGUUUACACACACAUACAUGUAGAUAAAGAGAUACAUCUAUAGAUAGAUAGCUACAGAUGCAUGUGUGUGCAUGUGUGUAUAUAUGUCUGAUUGUCUAAGUGUGUGUUUGUGCACAUAUGCAUGUAUUGUUAAAAAAUAUAUGAAAUUCUUUGGGAUUUAUGAAACAACCAUGCACUUCACCAUUUUCACCUAAGAGAGAAAUCUGAUACAGGUUUCUACCUUAUAAGGAAAAGAGCUAACAUAAAAUAAAAUACUAUUUUUAUAAUAUAUUUUAUAAAUGAAUGUCCAUCUACAUACAUGUGUGUGUACAUGCGUGUGUUUGAAUGCAUAUACACAGACAUACAGGAAGUAAAUAGUCGUCUUUAAUUUUAAAAAAUUUCUGAUCUAAGCAUCUUAAUAUGUUUUCAGCGGUGUAGAAUUUACAAUGUAAUUAUUCUUUUUCAUUCCAUGUGCCAUAAUAUUAAGCAUUUGUGAAGAGUAACCAUGCAACGCACAAAAAAUUCAGCAGAACUGUCAGAUUUUCAAAGAUGUCGUAUUGCUCAGCAAUCUGAGGCUGGACUUAGCCAGCGAAAAAUUACCAAAAAUCUUCAAAUUCUUCUUGCUACAGUUAAUGGAAUUAUAGUGCAAUUCAAAAGCCAAGGAAAAGAAUCAACAGAUUCUUGUCCUGGCCCACCUGGGCCUUCAGAAAGGAAACUUUGCUGUUUGAAGAGAAUUGUGGAAAACGAACCCUGUUCGAAGGCUUCUGACAUUGCAAAACAGCUAGAAGUUAGUCCAAGAAUGUGUGUUACAUAUCUGCAUAAGCUUGGGUAUUAUGGACAAGCAGCUAGAAGAAAACCUUUCCUUCAACCAAUUAAUAUCAAAUAAAAGAUUCUGAAAAUUAAAGGGGUCUAUUUACUUCCUGCAUGUCUGUGUGUAAUUUGAACUUGCUAUACAGCUUGUAAUUUUAUGUGAAACUGAAUUCUGCGAGAGUUAAUAAUACACAGCUUCCUGCUUCCUUUAACCGAGGAUUAUAGAAUGUUCAGUUGAAAUUAAAACUGAUUAUUUUUUGUUGACUCUGAUGUGAAAGAGUUCAGAUACAAUAUCAUAAACUAGCAAACCACUUAUCUUGUUCUUGUUUAGUUGCUACACCAUGGAAAUCUUUCCUUGUUAUUGACUGUCUUUGUUUGAAGAAUAUUUUGUAUAAAGCUUUAAGAUAGCAACUACAAGCUAAAUUUAUUUGCAUUAUACAUUCAUGCAUGCAUUUAUAAAUUUGCAGACUGAUAUAUAUUUUGUCGUAGUUGGGUAAGCAAGGCACGUGGUCUCUUUGGUACUGGUAAAUGUAUGCACAAGAAAAUCCACAAGGCAAAACAUAAUAAUAAUAAUGAUAAUAAUAAUAAUAGUAAUAAUAAUAAUAAUAAUAAUAAUAAUAAUAAUAAUAAUAAUAAGGAUAAUAGCAAUAAUAUUAGUAAUAAUGAUAAUAACAAGGUAGGACAAAUCUAGGCAAAAACUCUCAGACAGAUGGACAAAUAAAUUGAUAGACAGACAAGGAAUGAAAUUAAAUUAUCCAUCCAUAGACCAUUUCUAAUAUCAUUCGUAUGUCGUAUUGAUAUGUAACUUUCAAGCUAUAGACAGCUUAUAUAAUUACUUCUCAUGGUACAAUAAGCACAGCACAUUUGCGGCUUUAUUUUAUCUUCUCCUUUCAGGAACUUCGCCAUUUUCUUGCUAUAUUUUAUUUAUGUAUUUAUAUUUCUUCUUUUUUUUUGUUCUGGUAGGGGGUGGGGAUUGAGGUUAUUUAUUUUCAAUCUUUUUGUUGCAAGUCAGCUUUUUGCAAUAGAUACCUUGACAAAGAUAUCAUUUCUUUUGUUUUAAGUUAAGAAUAACUUUCUCAUAUUGUUUAAAAUUCAGAAUAUUCUAGUCUCCAAAUUUCUGAAUAAAUAUCUUUAAUUAAAGUUAAUAUAAACACAUAAUAGAAGCAAUUUUUAGAUACAUUCUCUGAAAAUAUGCUUCUUGAAAUUCCCAACAUUUUCAUUUUUAUUAUUGUGUGUUAUAGAUUUUUUCAUUUAUUUAUUUAUUUAUCUUUUGUUGUUCUCAUUCUCAUUUUUAUUUUCCAUUUCCUUCUCCACUUCACAAAACCCAGAAAAUUCCACAAGACAAGAAAUUAUUAUUCUUCAACUAUAAUUUUUUCCUAUUUUUUUUUCAAAAAUAAAAAGCUAUAUUCUCAUUAAGGGAUCUUUUAAGCUUCCUUCACUUUUAAUUAUAUUUCUUUAUUUAAAUUUAAUUAUUUUUUUAAAAAUUUAAUUAAUAGCAUUUUAAUAAAUAUCUUCUGUUGAAAUGCAAUUGGUAGAAAGAAUUCCUACGCUCUUUGUGUUCCUUCAAUGUGGUCUGUGCUGUGUUAUUACAUCGUCAUUUUAGAUGACAGGGAGGUGAGAGAGAAAAGACUUCAACGAUAUAACGAUGUGCGGGCUUCCAUGAUAAAUGCUGUGAAAUUAGCGUUUGCCCCUCUUGUUACAUUUUUAUGCAACAAGUUCCCUUAUUUAAAUUUUAACCUCCAGCGCAAGAAAACGGACUCUUUGUGCACUGUUUGAUCUCUGUCUUUUGUUGUUGUUGUAGUUGUUGUUGUUCAGCUCUGUUAUUACCACUCAAACAUUAAUCACUGUUACCAUCGGCUCCAAUACCACCAUUAAUCACCUUCCUUGUCUGAAUCAUCAUUGCGUCGUCGUCAUCGUCGUCAUCAUCGUCGUCGUCAUCGUCGUCGUUAUCAUCAUCAUCAUCGUCAUCAUCGUCGUCGUCAUUGUAGUUAUUGUCAUCAUCAUCGCUGUCGUCAUUAACAUCAGCAAUACUAGAAAAGCCAUAAUCACUAUCAUUAGCAUCAUCGUCAUCAUGUAGCUGCUGCUACUGCCAUCAUUACCAUCAUCAUAAUCAUCAUCAUCAUCAUCAUCAUCAUCUUUAUCACCACUGUCAUCACCACCAUCAUCCUCAUCAUCAAAUCCCCAUAAACUUCCUCCUCGCUAUCAACACCACCACCAUCACUAUUACCACCAUGACCACCGCCACCACCACCACCACCACCACCACCACCACCACCACCACUACCAUCACUACUAUCAUCAGCAGCAGCAGCGGUAGCAGUAGCAGCAGCAGCAGCAUUAUCAUUAUCAUGGUCAUCAUCACCACCAUUACACUCACCAUUACCAUCAUCAUCUUCAUCAUCAUCAUUGUCGUCAUCAUCAUCAUCAUCGUCAUCAUCAUCAUCAUCAUCACCACCACUACAACCACCUCUCUAGCAUCAUCAUCAUCAUCCUCAUCACCAUCAUCAUCAUCAUUAAUCUUACCAGUUCCCUACCUUUCCAUUUCUAGUUUAUCUUUUUCCUUUUCCCUUUUCUUUUUUCUUUCUGUCUCUCCAUGUUUAUUUUAUCUUAUAUUUAUUUAUUGUUUUCUUUUUAUUUCCAAUCAUUAUUUCCAAUUAAAUCUCUGUACUAAUUCAAUGCUUCCUUCUCCACCUCAUCCCUACUUAAUUACAUAAGUACAAGUUGCUUGAGAAUUUAAUCUCAAUAUUUCUUCCCAUCUGCUGCUACUGCUGCCACUGCUGCUUCCAUCGUCUGCUCAUCCUUAUUUUAACUCAGUUGGUAUAUCAUUUCAUUUUAAAUUUAGACUUGAAGAAUUGUCAUUAUCAUCAUCAUCACCAUUAUCAUCAUCAUCGUUGUCAUCAUCAUCAUUAUCAUCGUUGUCAUCGUUGCCAUCGUCAUCAUCGUCAUCAUCGUCAUCAUCAUCAUCAUCAUCGUUGUCAUCAUCAUCAUUAUCAUCGUUGUCAUCGUUGCCAUCGUCAUCAUCGUCAUCAUCGUCAUCAUCAUCAUCAUCAUCGUUGUUGUCAUCAUUGUCACCAUCAUCAUCAUCAUCAUUGUCGUCGUCAUAUCAUCAUCAUUUAACAUCUAUUUCCCACACUGACAUGGGUUAGAGGAUUUGAUCAAAGAUAGCAAGCAGGAGAGCUGCUUCAGGCUCCAGUUGGCACAGUUUCUAUGACUGGAUGCCCUUCCUAAUGCCAACCACUUUACAGAGUGUACUGGAUGCUUUUCACAUGGCACCAACACAGGUGCCUUUAAAAUAGUACAAAGAGGAUAAAAAAAUUAGCCAUUUCUGUUCAUCAUCAUCAUCAUCAUUUUCGCAUCCACUUUUCCAUACCUACAUGGGUCAGAUGGAAUUUGGUGAGGCAGAUUUUCUACAUUUGGAUGUUUCUCCUGAUACCUAUCCUCACCUGUUUCCCAAAAAUUUAAUAUUUCCUCGUUGCAAAACAUGUUUUUCAAAAAAGACCAGAAACAAACAACAUCACUUGCAUGAGCUCCGGCUUAUCCCAGUUUAAAUGGUGGUAUAAGUAACUAAGACUAUAACACUCCCCACCCGGAUGGUACGCCAGUCCAUCACAGGGUUAACUUCCCAUCUAUUGCCAGAACUCGUUUACAUCUGAACGGACUGGUGCAACCUGAAAUGAAGUGUUUUGCUCAAGAACACAAUGCACCGCCCAAUCUGGGAAUUGAAACUAGCAAGUGCAACUCCUUAAACCACCAGACCAUGUGACAUCAUACACAUACCCAGGUACAUACAUAUACACAUACCUAUGCACACACACACACACACAUACCCAUUGAUGCAUACAUAUAUCCAGUCAAGUGUCAGUCAAGUGUCAGUGAUGUAUAGGGUCAAAGUUAUUGGUUAACUUCCACCUUUUCAAGAUUGCUGACUUUGUGCCUAAAUUAGAAACCAUUCUAUUGCUAACUUAAAGAUAUUGUCAUUCUUUAAAUAUAAACAACUUCAUGGCUAAUAGACACAAUCAUACAAAAUGGCAUUUUCUCACACAACCAUACAAAUAUUCACUUAAACUUGUGGUAUUCUAGUUCUUAUCACAAUUAUUCUGUAAAUUCUAAGACUGCAGAAUCCAUUGAAUAAAAAGCAGAACAUUUGAUGUUUCUAUGAAUCUUACAAGGGACAAAGGUCAGAUGUUAAAAUCUAAGGGCAACCUGAAUCACUCACAUGUGUUAUGAUCAUGGACAUAUCCAGACGAGAGUGAUUUUAGCAUAAUUCUAUUCUCACAACAUAUAUAUUCACAUACA